GUCGGGGGCAUGACACUAGGGCUCGAUGAUUCCAUGUAGCACUACUUCUUUCUUUGGGUGAUGCUCUUACAGGAUGCCAUUGGAGAUCAUAUUCGAUGGAAAUGGGAUGGAAAUUGGAGGUAUUGGCUUUAGUUUGGAGGAGAAAGGCUUUGAAUGAGGUUUCGACUGAUAGGGUGUAAUACCUAAGCCCAUAUGGGCCUAGCCACCAAAGGAAA
rnacentral:lncRNA from 1 species